GUGAGAGUGCCCGAGUGGUUCAAGGGGCCGGUCUGCAAAACCGGUACUCGUCGGUUCAAAUCCAACCUCUCACU
rnacentral:tRNA from 1 species